GCCCGGGUAGCUUAACUUUCAGUAGAGCGUUGGUAAAAUCAAAGGCGGCGGUGCGAAUCCGUCCAUGGGCA
rnacentral:tRNA from 1 species